rnacentral:rRNA from 1 species
UACAGAGGUCUCAAGCGUUGUUCGGAUUCAUUGGGCGUAAAGGGUGCGUAGGUGGCGGGGUAAGUCAGGUGUGAAAUCUCGGAGCUUAACUUCGAAACUGCAUUCGAUACUGCCGUGCUUGAGGACUGGAGAGGAGACUGGAAUUUACGGUGUAGCGGUGAAAUGCGUAGAUAUCGUAAGGAAGACCAGUGGCGAAGGCGGGUCUCUGGACAGUUCCUGACGCUGAGGCACGAAGGUCAGGGGAGCAAACGGG